rnacentral:lncRNA from 1 species
AAAUUUUAAAAAUAUAUUUUUUUGAUUUUUUCAACUCCCGGCCUUAAAAAACACCGAUUUUCAUCGGAAUCGGCACCUCCUCCGCAAUAAAGGUACGAUUUUUACCCUUUGUAUUUUCGAUUUAUUUUUUUAAAAAGAAAAGAAAAGGGAAAAAAUAAUAAAUAAUAAAUAAGCCGAAAUAAAAUAAAAUAACCACCUUUGAGAAUUCCCGAUAUUUGAACUGAUUUCUUUCCAAUCUCUUUUGAUUCAUUCGUGUGUGUUAAAAUACAUAAAUUCGGGACCUUUUUAUAGCCCGAAAUUUCCUAUUUUCUCUACUUUUACACUGUUUGUGUUGUUGUUGGACUCUCCUAGUCCUUUUACAGGUACAAACGUGGCGGCACGUGCGGGGAAGGCGGCGCGCGCGGAGGCUGCCGUUGGGGUACGGCGGCUGAGGCUUGGCUGCUGCCUAGGGUUUUGUUUUUCUUUUGUUUUGGGCUAGGGUUAGCUUUUAGGUUGUUGGGCUUAUUUUUGGGUUUGGCAAUUUGGGCCUGUUUCAUUUAUUUUGGUUUUAGUUUAAAUUUGGUUUUAUUAUUUGUAUAUGGGCUGGGCAAAUUUUGAGUUUGUACAACACUAACGGCUCAACUGAAAAUAAACUAAUGCUU